rnacentral:misc_RNA from 1 species
AACCAUUCUCACCUGCGGCUAGACCUGCGGAGGGAUCAUUAUCGAGUAGUGGUUCUCAUAGAGAGCCCGAUCUCUUCAACCCAUGUGUACUGUCUAGCAGAAGUGUCUGGUGUUGCUUCGGUAGGCCACAAUGCCUACCGGACAGUAGCACUUGCCACCAAUUGUAUAAAAUCUUGUUAAUGUAUGCUGUCUGAGAUAGAUUCUAACUAAUAAAACUUUUAACAAUGGAUCUCAGAUCGG